UCGGGAAUUUUGCUCAAUGGGGGAAACCCUGAAGCAGCAACGCCGCGUGCGGGAUGAAGGCCUUCGGGUUGUAAACCGCUUUUUCUAGGGACGAUGAUGACGGUACCUGAAGAAUAAGUCACGGCUAACUACGUGCCAGCAGCCGCGGUAAUACGUAGGUGACCAGCGUUGUCCGGAUUUACUGGGCGUAAAGAGCGCGCAGGCGGUCGUUCAAGUCGAGUGUGAAAGCCCCCGGCUCAACUGGGGAGGGUCAUUCGAUACUGAUCGACUUGAAGGCAGGAGAGGGAAGCGGAAUUCCCGGUGUAGUGGUGAAAUGCGUAGAUAUCGGGAGGAACACCAGUGGCGAAGGCGGCUUCCUGGCCUGUUCUUGACGCUGAGGCGCGAAAGCUAGGGGGAGCAAACGGGGAUUAGAUACCCCCGGUAGUCCUAGCCGUAAACGAUGGACACUAGGUGUUGGUGGGUAUCAACCCCACCAGUGCCGAAGCUAACGCAUUAAGUGUCCCGCCU
rnacentral:rRNA from 1 species